GUCUCGGAUAGCUUAACUGGAAGAGCCCUUGGCGCAUAACCGAGAGAUCUGGGUUCGAUUCCCAGUCUGGGCU
rnacentral:tRNA from 1 species